rnacentral:misc_RNA from 1 species
GGAGGUUGAGAGUUCAGAUACCAUCAACAAUGUUAAAGCAAAGGUCCAAGACAAAGGAGGGUAUUCCUCCGAACCAGUAGAGAUUGAUGUUUGCUGGAGAGCAACUUGAAGAUGGAAGGAUCUUGGCAGAUUACAACAUUCAGAAACAGUCAACGCUGCACCUUGUUCUUCGUCUUAGAGGUGGCAUGCAAUUUUUUGUCAAGACUUAGACUGGGAAGACAAUUACGUUGGAGGUUGAGAGUUUAGAUACCAAUGACAACAUCAAAGCAAAGAUUCAAGACAAGG